rnacentral:rRNA from 1 species
ACGCCUAAUACAUGCAAGUCGAACGAAGUAGUAAUACUUAGUGGCAGACGGGUGAGUAACAUGUAGGUAUCUUCCCUAUGGUGAGGAAUAACACGAGGAAACUUGUGCUAAUACCUCAUAAGUCUUUACAGAGAAAGCUUUAUGCGCCAUUGGAUGAGCCUGCACUUGAUUAGUUUGUUGGUGGGGUAAUGGCCUACCAAGACAAUGAUCAAUAGCUGAUUUGAGAGGAUGAUCAGCCACAUUGGGACUGAGACACGGCCCAAACUCCUACGGGAGGCAGCAGUAGGGAAUCUUGCACAAUGGGGGAAACCCUGAUGCAGCGAUGCCGCGUGAGUGAAGAAGGCCUUUGGGUUGUAAAGCUCUUUCGUCGGGGAAGAAAAUGACUGUACCCGAAUAAGAAGGUCCGGCUAACUUCGUGCCAGCAGCCGCGGUAAUACGAAGGGACCUAGCGUAGUUCGGAAUUACUGGGCUUAAAGAGUUCGUAGGUGGUUAAAAAAGUUGGUGGUGAAAUCCCAGAGCUUAACUCUGGAACUGCCAUCAAAACUUUUUAGCUAGAGUAUGAUAGAGGAAAGCAGAAUUUCUAGUGUAGAGGUGAAAUUCGUAGAUAUUAGAAAGAAUACCGAUUGCGAAGGCAGCUUUCUGGAUCAUUACUGACACUGAGGAACGAAAGCAUGGGUAGCGAAGAGGAUUAGAUACCCUCGUAGUCCAUGCCGUAAACGAUGUGUGUUAGACGUUGGAAAUUUAUUUUCAGUGUCGCAGCGAAAGCAAUAAACACACCGCCUGGGGAGUACGACCGCA